rnacentral:rRNA from 1 species
GACGAACGCUGGCGGCGUGCCUAAUACAUGCAAGUUGAGCGCUGAAGGUUGGUACUUGUACCAACUGGAUGAGCAGCGAACGGGUGAGUAACGCGUGGGGAAUCUGCCUUUGAGCGGGGGACAACAUUUGGAAACGAAUGCUAAUACCGCAUAAAAACUUUAAACACAAGUUUUAAGUUUGAAAGAUGCAAUUGCAUCACUCAAAGAUGAUCCCGCGUUGUAUUAGCUAGUUGGUGAGGUAAAGGCUCACCAAGGCGAUGAUACAUAGCCGACCUGAGAGGGUGAUCGGCCACAUGGGGACUGAGACACGGCCCAAACUCCUACGGGAGGCAGCAGUAGGGAAUCUUCGGCAAUGGACGAAAGUCUGACCGAGCAACGCCGCGUGAGGGAAGAAGGUUUUCGGAUCGUAAAACUCUGUUGGUAGAGAAGAACGUUGGUGAGAGUGGAAAGCUCAUCAAGUGACGGUAACUACCCAGAAAGGGACGGCUAACUACGUG